rnacentral:rRNA from 1 species
ACGCGCCGNGCGGAGGANACGGGCGGGAACCCGUCUAAUACCGCGUAACGCGGCCUUGGGGCAUCCCAAGGCCGCCAAAGGGAGCAAUCCCGGCCACGGAUGGGCAUGCGGCGCAUUAGCUAGUCGGCGGGGUAACGGCCCACCGAGGCGACGAUGCGUAGGGGUUCUGAGAGGAAGGCCCCCCACACUGGUACUGAGACACGGACCAGACUCCUACGGGAGGCAGCAG